rnacentral:rRNA from 1 species
AUGAUCGCGCACGGCGCAGUGGAGCUUGCCCCCGGCCGAGCCGAUCUCCCACAUGCCGCUGUCGCCGGGGCAGAGUACCAUCUCGACGCGCCCCGUCAACGGGCUGUACCCCACGGCCGUGCCGACGCUCGUCCGCCACCACGCCGUCCCACCGGCCGCCGCGCCCGACGCGGCGACGAGCCCUUCGGCGGGCACGACCGCGUCGGUGGCCCGCCACGCGCCCGUCCCGGACGUGAACACCAGGAAGCAGUAGGCGCCGGAGCCCGGCGCGCACUCAGCGGCGCAGACGAGCGCGUAGUCGCCGCGGAAGUUGUACGGCGUGGCGUCGAAGAGGACGACGAUCGCGGGGCGCGGCCAGGUGCGGCACGGCGGGGACGGGACGGGCGCCCAGGACGCGGUGGCCGGGUUGCACACGAAGAACGCGUCGUCGGCGGGCGAGUAGCAGCACGCGACCCCGUGCGACGACGAGAGCACGGUGACCUCCUCCGAGGCCGGGGCAAAGGCGAGCGUCUGGGACGGCACAGCGUCGUCGGGCCCGUCGAACGGGAGGAAGCCUGCCUUGGGGACGAAGAGGCCGGACAUCCGGCGCGGGGCGGCCGCGUGCGCCACGGCGAAGAGCGGGGACGCGAGCCGGCGCUCCCAGGACGGGUGCACGAGGCGGAGGCGCGCGGCGGCCGCGGGCGGGAGGUGCACCAGCGCGCGCUCCCGCAGCACGUCGGCAAGCGGCGGCGCCCGGACGGCGGUCACGCGGCUCCGCAGCCGGCGCCUCGACGGCCCCCGGCACGCCCGCGGAUCCUCGCUGGUCGACGCGUCGCCGGAGUACAUGGCUGCCUGACCAGCAGACGGAUCGUGCCCACGCGCGCUGCCGUGUCUACUCCUCCGCGGCGGGUGUUACGAGCAGAGUAG